rnacentral:rRNA from 1 species
GACGAACGCUGGCGGCGUGCUUAACACAUGCAAGUCGAACGGAAAGGCCCUGCUUUUGUGGGGUGCUCGAGUGGCGAACGGGUGAGUAACACGUGAGUAACAUGCCCUUGACUUUGGGAUAACUCCAGGAAACUGGGGCUAAUACCGGAUAGGAGCUCUUGCUGCAUGGGGGGGGUUGGAAAGUUUCGGCGGUGGGGGAUGGACUCGCGGCUUACCAGCUUGUUGGUGGGGUAGUGGUUUACAAAGGUUUUGACGGGUAGCCGGCAUGAGAGGGUGACCGGCCACAUUGGGACUGAGAUACGGCCCAGACUCCUACGGGAGGCAGCAGUGGGGAAUAUUGCACAAUGGGCGGAAGCCUGAUGCAGCAACGCCGCGUGCGGGAUGACGGCCUUCGGGUUGUAAACCGCUUUCGCCUGUGACGAAGCGUGAGUGACGGUAAUGGGUAAAGAAGCACCGGCUAACUACGUG